CACUGUAAAGCUAUUAAGCAUUAACCUUUUAAGUUAAAGAUCGAGAGACCCCCUCUCUAUAGUGA
rnacentral:tRNA from 2 species